AGUUGAUCUUAAGCUCAUUGGUUUCAGGAUGAGUUGCGAGAUGCUGUCUUGCUGGUAUUCGCUAACAAACAGGAUCUUCCAAAUGCAAUGAAUGCUGCUGAGAUUACUGAUAAACUCGGCCUCCACUCCCUCAGGCAGCGUCACUGGUACAUCCAAAGCACCUGUGCAACCUCUGGUGAGGGUCUUUAAGAAGGUCUGGAUUGGCUAUCCAACAACAUUGCUAACAAGGCAUGAAGCCAUUAAAGAUCAUUUGCGGACUGGCAAUUCUGGAUGCAGGGGUGAAUAUUAUCUAUUUUUUUUUUUUUUUUUUUAAAAAUUCCUUUUUGCUUGAGACAGUUGGAUUGUUGUUUUGCUAUAUUUGUUUUUAGGACCUUAUGACUAUAUUGUAAUAGAAGAAUGGUUGGUUGGAUACAUGUACUUCCGAGCCUUCAGUUGGGUUUUAGAUGUGAUGCUUCUUUAUGUAAUUGAAACUAAUUUGGUGCAACACCCCUUUUUGAAUUUAGUUUUCUUUCAUUGUGUUUC